UUAAUUUUUAUGGACAACAAUUAUUUCCCAACAAACACUAACAAAUGGGAAUCAAAUAUGUUUUCCCAGUCAUGGAGAUGGGGUGAGGAUUUAUUUCCAUCCAAAACYGAUCUCAUUGCUGGCACUGAGGGUGGUCACUGUAAGGGUUUAAUGCAUCCUCAGUGGUUCAUUUACGUCCCCAAAUUCUUUGCUUGCAAUCACGUGACAAUUUGACUGAAAUUUUGCUUCCGGUUUCCAAGUGACGGUCAAGUAAACAAAGAUGGCUCCUCGCGCGGGUAAAGUGAACGAUCAAUCUGUCCCAAAAAACGCUCUUUCAGAGUACGCUAGUAAUCUUGACUGCAUAUCCAAGUCAAGAUAUAUCAACAAAAUAUCUAUCUGUGAUGGAAUUGAUCCAUAUUCUAUGAAAACAAAGGACUUUUCUAAGGAUUUCGCCAUCUUUCCCGACCUUCAGUUCGCGGACAUUUCUACCUAUCUUUUAGUCCAAACAUUGUUUUAUACCAAAUCUCAGAUGAAAGCCUUCAAAAGCCUUGAAGCUUAUAACUUCUUCGUGUGUGGAUGGGUUAGUGAUGUUGGUGUUAAGAUCCUCAAAGACAAUAAUCACCUUAUUUUUGCAAGGGUACGUAUCCAAGAAUAUAAGCUGAGACAGUCGUUUUUACAUCUGUGUGUGUGGCGUUUUCUGUGCCUAUAAUAAUAAGUAAUGUCUUCCAUGUGUAGAUAAACAAAUUGUUAAACCUCUAGCUACAGCAAAAUCAUUAUUUCCCUGUCUUUGCAGGUCAACCAUUCYCAGAGAUCAACUAAAACACCGUUGAAGACUUGGGUCAUCCUCAAAGAAGAUGGCGAAGUCAUUACAGCUCAUUGCAACUGCAUGGCAGGGCUGGCAGAGUCAUGUUCACAUGUGGGAGCUAUUCUUUACUACAUUGAAACUGCAGUUCGUAUGCGYGAGUCUUCCACUUGCACAAUGGAAAAGAGUAAAUGGUUGAUGCCAGCACAUGUUAAAAAGGAUUGAUAUAUACAAGUUGCUUAAAUAUGCAUACAUAAUGAACCGGAAGUGACGUGCAUUGCAAGCAAAGAAUUGGAGACAGGACCGCCACUUAAUGUGGUCAUCUG